CUCACUCCUUUCUAUUACACGGGUAAAUUCCAUUUUUCCUGUGGAACUCAUGCAUUAAUAUCUCUGAUACCAGCCCCCGCUAGAACUUAGCUGGCUCUGACACCCAAACCUAACUUAAAAUUCUAAGUCUAAAAGAAAGAUGCUUCAAAACCACAAAUGAACUGGCAAAUCAGUUCUCGCAACAGAGCUCGUUUCUCCAUGUUUUUAGCAUUGAAUCAGUCUUUCUGACAGAGGUGGUUUAAUUUACCCUUCUCGCCGACGCAACUGGACUCUGCCACACAGCUCACAGGAGUCGGGGUUGAGAGUGAAAUCCAAACCCUGCCAUAAGCUUUUCACUGUUAAUCACCUGUGGGGCUAGCAAUGGGGUACAUCAGAAAGUCUCAUUUCCACCAAAAAGCCUAGGUCCCAUGAGGCCCACUCUUUUGGGUGCCCACCUAACAAGUGUUUGCUGGAGAGGACAUGUGGAUGACAGAACACUCAGGAAUGCUUGAAGUGGAAGGACCCAGCAGUCACCGAGGAGGAUCACAGACCUGAGCUUCCAGCCUCUUCCAGUUCCUGAACUGCCACCACCUCUGCCCCCAGGGCUGUGUGCGAUUCUGCACCACCUGCAUACCGUCUCAGAAGAUUAUUGAGUAUCCAGAAGACAGGUUAGGUAAAGGACUCCCUGUAGGCAGCUUUGGGGAGGUCAUCACCCAGGCUUAGUCAGGACCUCUCGGGAGCGCGGCUGUUUGGUGGCCGCUCAUUUUCCUGUAAAUGAGGUCAAUAAAUUUACUGUCUUCCAAAGCUGGACUUGAAUUCCAAAGCUAUUUCUUUGAUUCCUUGUCGGUGUCCCAUCCGGAAUGCAUAGACAUUUGCUCAUUUCUUCUUCAGGAUAAUUUGGCAAGCCAUGUCGGUAUUAUAUAUGUGUGUGUAUAUAAUCACACACAUAUAUAUUUCCCAUUACAAAUGAUAUUAUAGCUACAUUCUACAUGUGUAUUAUAUACAUACCUAAAAUGGAAAGUUUUUGUUUUAUGCCUUUGGAUGCAUACGAAACCAUGCACAUGGACUAUGCCCCGUGGUGAAAUACACACAGUUUAAAUUUUAAUAGUUAUUGUCACAUUACCCUACAAUGCAUGAACCAAUCUAAACCCUAUCAACAAUAUAUAGAGUGCUUAUGUUCACACACUAAUUGUUUACUAUUUGGUCUUAUUCAUAUUUAAACUAAGAAAAAUGGUAUCUGGCUGUAACUAGAAAAAGGGAGCCUUGGUGUUGGGGAGAAGGUUCCGUGACGUCCCAGCCACACAAAUACGAUGACCUGAGUUCAAGCCCCAGACCACAUGUAAGAGCUGGAUGCAGUUACCCAGUACUGGGGAGGCUGAAGCAGGAGGACCCCGGAGGCUUGCCAGCCAGAUAGUCUAGCCUCAUUGGCCGCCUUCCCUCCUUGGACCGCUGAGCAUUCCCUGAAGCCAAUGUCCACACUCUUCUUCUCUUCCGAGUCCUUUGCUCAGUCCCCAGGGAAAGACCUGGGUGUGCAGUGCGGGGAUGAAGACAAGAGACAGACAGAUGCACAGACACACACAACGCUGAGGUUUGAUGGACUGAGGUUUCCGCUGGAGAAACCACGCGAUGCUGUAAACUCAGCAAGAUUAUUGUGUACAGUUGAACAUGGUGUGGGGGGGGUAUUGUAAACAAACAGGGUUUAGGGUACAUUUGGAUCAAGGAGACAGAGUUAGCUAAUCUUGGUAGGAGCUGUCUCUGUAGGGGAGCUGCCUUCAGGCCAUGAAUGUGGGAGGAGGGGAGAAAGCUAUGUUGGGCACUUUCCGCACACCCUAUCAACAACCGCGCAUGAACCAGAGAAAGGCUCUGCCAUCCCCGCCUGAGCCUUAUCCUGGGGGAGGGGGCUGCUCUGCCAUUCCUGUAUGGAUCGGUUUGAGGCCUUAGUAAGACCUUGCCCGUGUCAACAAAACAGUCAGGCCCUCACAGUUGGGCUUUCUCCACACUUGUACAAUGCAGUGUGGUAAAUACACGAAUAGGAUGUGUGUACUACCUGAGCACAGAAGUAGUUAAUUAUGGGCAAGCAGCUUGUUCUUAAAUAUAUGUUGUUAGCUGUUUCAAAAACAUAUUGUAUAAACAAAAUAUUUUAUAAACAAGCUAUUUUAUAAACAAACUAUUUUAUAAACAUGUAUGUGAUGAAAGGAAGACAAAUAUGAUACUUUGGUCAAUAAAACCCUACGUAGCAAUAUGGCUUACAACUACAGGUUAUAUUUGGUAAAUGUAUAGUAGAUGAGUGUUUAUAAUCUAUUGUUUGUAUAAUUUUAUUAAAUUUUGUAUACUAUUGUAUACUUUAUAAUCUACUAUUAUUGAAAUGAGAGAAAGCAGAGCAAUCUACAAAUUGUCUACUUUGAUACUUGUUUAGGGAGAUUUCCAAGUUUGAUUAAAA